rnacentral:misc_RNA from 1 species
AACGCACAUGGCGCCUUCCAGUAUCCUGGGAGGCAUGCCUGUCCGAGCGUCGUUUCAACCCUCGAGCCCCCGUGGCCCGGCGUUGGAGAUCUGCCACGGCAGUCUCCCAAAACCAGUGGCGGACCCGAAGGCCCUCUCCUUUGCGCAGUAGCAUCAGCCUCGCAUCGGGAUCCCUCGGCGUCCUGCCUCUAAACCCCCCACAAGCCCGCUCCGGCGGCACCAAGGUUGACCUCGGAUCAGGUAGGAAUACCCGCUGAACUUAA